UAUACAAAACUUGGAUUAUAGAAGGUUUGAUAAUCAGAAGAGGUAUAGUUUACAAAAUGGUACGAACUACAAAUAACAAUAAGAUUAGGCAUUUUUUACUUUUCUUUUUUAAGUUUACUGUUUGAUAUAAAAGAUCUUUGAUUGAUGUAAUUAAAGUAUAAUACGCUAAAUAAGUCAAAUAUUAACAGUGGGUGAAUGAAUCAUACUUUGAAAAAGAAACGAGGUGUCUUUCCUGUUUUCUCGUUCCAAAAAAUCCGGAUGAUUUUCCAAACAUAUUUUAGAAAUGUUACCCUGAAUUUUUAUCAAUCUUAUUACAAUGAGGAGACAAUCUACUUAAUUGGAAGAUCUGGUUAACAUAUAUUAAUUUAUUGUUAUAAUUUUUUUGAGCAUUUUUGUGCAGAUAUAAUAACAAAAGAUAUUCAACCAUAAUAUAUAGUCAUUCCAAAACCAUAUAAGUUUGUGUUUUAUCAUAAACAUUUAAAUAUCACGGUUACCUGCAAAUAUUCUAAACUUGCAAAUGUUGAUGGAUAAUAACUCAAUGAGAAACACAAUAAGACAUAAACAUAAAAGAUAAUUUCAACAUAUAAUUCUCCUACGACAAGUGGAACAUAUUCGUGGUUAUUUUAACAACUAAACAAAGAUAUGGCGUAUUUUUUCACGACGCCAGAAGCACGAUUCGUCUGCAUAGAACUCAUCUUAAAGGCGCUCCAAUCAAAACUUAAAAAAAUACAAUCCAAAUGAAUAAUAAAGGUGUAAUCCCACCAUUGAUUUCCCCUAUUGUCUUUGUUAAAUUGUGCACUUUUCAAAAAAUGUGCAGAAUUUUCUUUGUUUCAAAUAAAGAAAUACUUGGCAUGAGUAAAGUUUUAUUCCUGUCCAGUACUAUAAAAAAAAAUUCACAUAACCAUUUCAUUGCAUAUAAGAAAAUAACCAUCAUUGGAAGUUAACCAAUCAAAUUCCUCCCCUUAAUUUAUCUGUGUUACAAGGUUAAGUCACCAUGUAAACCUCAAGAUUACAAAUUUUUCUAUAGAAAUCCCAAAUUAAAAAAAAAAUGGUGUUUUGAAAUCCCCAAGACAUAUGUUUAUGACACAGAAAUGUUUUUUACUGCAAUAAAGUAUACGAUUUAUUACCUACAACUGUCAAAUUCAAGGGAAAUAUUUAUUUAGACCUACUUUUAUAAACCUGGCUGUGACGUACCAUGACUUGGUGGUAUUACACCUAAAGAUAACACAGAUACUCCCUAACCGCCACCUAUUAAAAUCAUUAUUGAGUUACCUUUUGAAGGGAUGUUUUCAACUUUAUCAUUUUGAACCCUACUUUCAUUUUUUUUUUUUUGGUCAGAAUCCAGACUUCAUAACUAGAAUACUGUAUCAUCUAUUUCAGAAAAGACUGUUAUAAGACCCAUACAAACAAGACCAACUUAUGGACCAUGGAAAUAGUUGGGUGACAGUUGUUUGUAGUUAUAAUGAAUUUCAAUAAAUGUAUUUUUUUAGAAGAUAAAUAAUGAACAGCUAUUGUUUCGUUAUUUGAAUUCGUAAUCAUCAUGUACAAAUUAACUCUAAACAGUGUCUUGCUUUUUUUCUACGAUACUUUUGGAUGUUUAAAUGUGUAUGCAUCAAUU
rnacentral:lncRNA from 1 species